GUGUUUGUUAUGUUUAUUUUAAAUGCUCAUCAAAUUGACUUGAUAAAAAAAGGCAUUUUACAAAUAUGUAUAUAUUGUGUCAAACUCCCAUAAUGUGUUAAUAAUGGUACAACCCUGUAAAAGUUAAGUUACUGUUAAACUAUUAAGCAUCUGAAGGUAUAAGAUAGGAAGCAAGAUGGAGGGUCAGAAAAAAAAGAGGGUUGCCAUAUUUUCUUACACACAAAAUUGCGUGCUUGUGUCACGUGUGGUUGGCAAUUGGGAUCGGCUUUAUGGUCAAAGAUCUCGGAUGAUGUCCCAAUCUAAAAAAAAUGCUAUAUGGAGUAGCACAGUGGAGCAAGUGGAUGCAUCCGGGGAUACCGCCUGAACCAUUGACACCUGCAAACGUCGCAUUGUGGAUAUCAAAACUCAAAUAAAAAAAAAAUUGACCGCCAUUGCAAAGCACCAAAGAGGCACAGAGGAGGCCCACCAGUGGAAGUAAAUUUCAGUACAUACGAGGAGGAAUUAAAGGGGUGCCUUGGGCCAGAUACCAUCCUCGGAGUACCAGGAGAAUACGACUCCGAUGCCCAUAUGUUACAAGAACCAUUAAAUGAUCAAGAGCCUGCCAGCGACCACAAGGUGCAACCAGUCCAAGAGGGAGAUCACACCCUAAUGCUAUUUAGUGAUGACGAUAGUAAAAAUGUUGGUGGAGUAUGAAGUAAUGGAGGAUUCAAACCUGUGUGGUAAGUUUAAAACACCCCUUUGUCAACAGAAGAAACUAAUUUAAACUUUGCUAUGUUACAAUAUGAAGAUGUAUUAAUUGGUAUUAAAGUCUACUAUCGCGUGUUCUUUUUAGGGCCCCACCAGGUGGUCUACUUGGCUAGUAUGCGCGGGAUAUUCUCACAAUAUAGCAUGUUUACCUGUGCUCCAGAGCUGCAUUGUAAUUAAUCUGGCACGGGCUUCGUCCAGUCUUGUCGACAGCAAUGUCACUCCCGAGCAUGUGGUUUGUAGUCCCAUCGCAGCGACACAGAUCGGGGCUGUAAAUAUACGUUGAGCCAUGCAUGCGUGGAUCAUUGAGCACACGAUGACUGACAGGGAGGAGGAAGCAUCUAUGACAGAAGAAACCGCUAGAGUCUCUUCUUUCAUGAAUAUCCUGUCUUUCAACAAUUUCAUUAAAAUUGAAGUUUUAUACUAGAGUAUACAUUUAUUGU